CUUUUGUUCCCUUUGUGAUCUAUGAAUACCCAAUCCCAUAUCAUCUCUUCUGCCUCUACACAUAAGCGUCGUGAGGAUACGUAUGGCUGCGAGUUUAAAGUGCAUGUCACUUACCUUGGCGAGUAUGGGUAAUCACGCAUGGGUGUUUCACCCCCAUUCUCCAUCGGUUUUGUCGUUGUUCUUGGUCUCCGCUCUGGUUCUUGGUACCAUCUCGGCAGCCAUGGUUUCAUCCAGUUUUGUGUGUCUAUGGUGAAGAGAAUUUGGAUAUUGGGUCUCCUAAGGUUUAUGAUUUGAGAUUCGUUUGGAACGGAAACAUCAUUACAAAAUCCAUGUUGUGUUGCUUCCGGCGUGAGUUCGACGACCCUCCUUCGUUGGCGGCGGCUGCUCUGGUUGCUCUACAGUUGUUGCUAGGGUUUUGUAAUGUUUUGGGCCAUUUACUGGGCCUAUGUUCUUAGUUUUAAGUUUUUAGGGGUAGUCAGCUAUUGCUAGCUCUUGUAGAGAUUAGUUGCUUGAUUACUUUCCUGAUAUUGUUAUGUACUCUAUCUUGGGUUUUUCCCCUUAAAUGAAUCACUUCAUUUACCCAAAAAAC